UACGAAGGGUGCAACCGUUGCUCGGAAUUAUUGGGCGUAAAGCGCACGUAGGCGGCCUUGCAAGUCGGAUGUGAAAUCUUAUGGCUUAACCAUAAAAGUGCAUCCGAAACUGCAGUGCUUGAGUACUUAAGAGGAUCGCGGAAUUCCCGGUGUAGAGGUGAAAUUCGUAGAUAUCGGGAGGAACACCAGUGGCGAAGGCGGCGAUCUGGGAAGAUACUGACGCUGAGGUGCGAAAGCGUGGGGAGCAAACAGG
rnacentral:rRNA from 1 species